GUGGUCAAGCGCCACUGACGUGGGAUGUUUAUCGCUUUGAAAUCACGUUCAAGAAGUCUCAUUCAGCACACAUCGCGAUACUUUCCAUCAGUUUAGAAGAGCCGCAGGUUGGGUGAGUUAUACAGUCUAUGCUGAAAAGGCGUAAAGGAAGCAGUCACCCCAGUGGUGCUUGUGGAGAGGUAUUCCUUCAGAAAUUGAGAGGACAGAAAGCUGCAGAGGCAGGAUUGUUUCCAGAUAACACUGUAGAUCUCCGUCAUGCACAAGGACUCACCUCUUUAACUCUUUAUCCCCCCCCCACACACACACAGAAAUGGUUCCUGGAUCAGUGACUCAAGACUUUGCAGUGGUUUGAUUUCUGCAGAAGAUGUAACUUUGUUUUAAUUAACCUUAUAAUGAAUACAUUGUGACCUUCCAGCAACCCAUAUACUGCACUGUAUACAGAACCAGUGAUGACAACAAUCGUUAAAAAAUAGCAUUUAUCAUAUUGAUAAAGCAUUGUGUUCUCUUUGUCAAGCUUCAUACAGUAAACUUUACUUCUGGUGCUUUUAUCAUAAAAAAGCAUCAGUUCUGAUCAGGAGUUUUAGUAAAGCACAUAUUCAUGCACAGCAAUCCCCUAGUUCCAGUCAUGAAGUGAAUGAUGUUAUUGUUAAAGUUAUAUUUCUGCAUUUUUAUGUAGCAGGUGUUUGUUUUCCUGAACACUUUAUCUUUCUUCCAUUGUUCGGACAAUCAGUGUUUAUCUGAUGCUGUGCUGAUUGAGUUUUAUAGAUGAUAUUGCACACUUGACAUG